AUUGAACGCUGGCGGCAGGCCUAACACAUGCAAGUCGAGCGGAUGAGAGGAGCUUGCUCUUUGAUUUAGCGGCGGACGGGUGAGUAAUGCCUAGGAAUCUGCCUGGUAGUGGGGGACAACGUUUCGAAAGGAACGCUAAUACCGCAUACGUCCUACGGGAGAAAGUGGGGGAUCUUCGGACCUCACGCUAUCAGAUGAGCCUAGGUCGGAUUAGCUAGUUGGUGAGGUAAUGGCUCACCAAGGCGACGAUCCGUAACUGGUCUGAGAGGAUGAUCAGUCAAACUGGAACUGAGACACGGUCCAGACUCCUACGGGAGGCAGCAGUGGGGAAUAUUGGACAAUGGGCGCAAGCCUGAUCCAGCCAUGCCGCGUGUGUGAAGAAGGUCUUCGGAUUGUAAAGCACUUUAAGUUGGGAGGAAGGUCAGUAGCUUAAUACGUUGCUGAUUUGACGUUACCGACAGAAUAAGCACCGGCUAACUCUGUGCCAGCCGCCGCGGUAACAC
rnacentral:rRNA from 1 species